rnacentral:lncRNA from 10 species
UCAAAGAGGAAGGGUGGGGGCCAGGAAGGGAAACUCCAUGAGACCUAGAGGGAAGGAGGACCUUUUGUGCGACAGUGCUGCCACAUGUGGGGUGUGAGCUGUAGCCAUCACUCCUACCAGCAUCUGGGAAGCAACACACUCAAUGUGUAAAAUACUAGAAAGGAGUCGGAUUCGUCAAAAGUUGGUGGCCAGCUGCAUUGUGGUGGUAAGAGGAAGUGGGCGAUUAAGAAAAUUCUGGAGACCACUGUUGUGCACUUCUCUUGGGGAAGUUGUUUCUUUUUCAGAAAUGGAGAGGAAAUAUUUUGCCAGAGCAAUUUGAGGUGCCAUUCAGAAGUGGGUGCCAUUUAGAAGAUGUCAUUCAGAAGGGGGAAACUCUGGUAGCCCAAAAAUGACAGAUGUCCACAUGGACUUCCUUCUCUCUCAAUCCAUGAUUCUGUGCUUGGCUUAAGAAAAUCCAAAUCUCAUAACCCUGUGAAAAUUGCACACUUUCUCUGUCUUGCAGCUUUGCCUGCCAUCCUGACUCCUUGCCUUCACCUGCCCUCAGAAGCCUCCAUCUGUAGACACUCUUGUCCACACCAUUCCCUGCAGAUUACAUCACUUAGGAGAAUUCUGUGGAUGCAGUUGAUUGUAUUCAUUCACUUUUUUACUGUCCCCUUCCCUACAAGAGGGUUAUAUGCCCCAGCCUGGUACAUGGAUCCAGUCUUACAGGGAUUUUUAUGGAGGCUUCAUCACAUAAGUAUGAUUAUUAACUCAAUCUUUAACUCCUCUUGUGUAGCCGAAAAGCCAACCUCCCAUUCCCUGCGUAUACCAUGUUCUCAUUCUCACACUAAGUUUUCCACAUUCAUUUACUGUUCUUUUCAGCUCUUUUUUCUUAUUCAUCCUGGAGCUUUGGUUCAUGAUAUUCUAAUCACUAUCUCACGAAUUUAAUUUUCCAUCUUGCCCUGUGCUAGAUGCAUUUCUAGGUGUUUUAUGCUCCAAACACAGUUUAUCAUCAGUGCCUCCAUGGCACUCCAAAGUUGGAUUAUUAAGUCCACUCUGUAGAUGCCAGACUGAGGUGCAGGGGGUUAGGUAAUUUGCUCAAGUUUACAAAGCUAGUAAUUGGUGGAGCCAGAAUUUAAAGUCACUCUUGCUCCCAGUUGCCUACAAAAAAUCUUCAUUACAUUGCAUUGCCAGAAAACACUAAAGAGUAAAUUAUUUUUACUAUUCUAGUGGAAAUACUUCUAAAAUAUUCUACAUACUUCUCUGCCAUUUCAAUUAGAUCAUAUUGAACAUAAGUUAACCUCUUCAGGACUAGUUAAUAUCAUAGCUAUUAUAAAUGUUAUAGUGGUAUAGAAGCAUUUGAAUCUACAAAGUGACUUACUGGCUGCAUAAACUUAGGCAACUAACAGCCUCUCUGAGGUUCAGCUGCCUCAUCUGCACAGUGAAGUUAGUCAUAUACUCACAAAAGAUAACAUAAAAUGCCAUGAAUGAAUCAGGCACAGAGGAAGGAUGCACUAGGUGGUUAUUAUUAUUAGAUUAUUGGAUUAUUGAGGAUACUCUUUAACUUGGCUGCCUGAAGACCAUUUAGACUUACUUCCUCAGUGCUUAGAACUACUGCCAAGAACAUCAAACAAGUUUAAGUGAUAAACUGAUAUUUGCACUCCUGCGGCCUAUCUCUGGACUAGAU